ACGACGGUUUCCUGGAGAAAUUCUACGGAAGUCUGUUUGAGUUCCGGCUGCUAGCGCCCAGAUCCCGAAGGUUCGUUGGGAAGCUCGUGUUUUGACUCAUAGCCCAACUAGCCCCAAAUUUGUCUGUGGCGUGCCAGAUGCUCCCAGGAAGUUAGUUAGUACACAAACACUACUUAACGUAAAGCAAUACCUAAAGAGAUGGCUCAGGAAACAGCAGAAGACAAAUUGGAAAAUGCUUGAGAAAAGAAAAAUAGAGAUUUCCUUAAUGGAAGUGUUGGAAUUUGGGAGAACACAUUAAACAGAAGAGGAAAAAGGAGAUCUUGAAGGUCACGCUCAACAUAUGGAAAGGAUAAAACAGCAACAACAACCAGACUGGACAGCUUAUGGAGUAGGACUUUAAAAGAGAGAGACAGAGCACAAGUGGAGGAGGGGCAGAGAGAGAAGGAGACACAGAAUCCGAAG